rnacentral:lncRNA from 1 species
NNNNNNNNNNNNNNNNNNGACAGCCAGAGAUACAUAAUUAGACUUCAUUUUAAAAAAAUCUUAGCCCAUGACUGGAAAAGAAUAUUUAAUAAAAAUGAGACCUAAGAACUUAUGUCCAUAUGUCUCAAAAGUCUGUGGUCUAGAUUUAAUUUUUUUUAAAAUGAUAUUUGGGCCCCCCCCCACACACACACAAAAAUCACCUUUGGCUAGAGAGAGGGUUGAAUAGUUAAGAGUAUGGCUGCUCUUCCAGAAGAACAGGGUUUGAUUCACACCACCUGCCACACCACCUCCAGUAGGAUCUGUGUGACAAGUUCCACAGACUGAGGCGAUCAACCUCAAAGGGGGGGGGGGCUCCUGGAACCGGCUGUGGAACUC